rnacentral:rRNA from 1 species
UACGGAGGGUGCAAGCGUUGUCCGGAUUUAUUGGGUUUAAAGGGUGCGUAGGCGGCCCGUUAAGUCAGUGGUGAAAGCCUCCAGCUCAACUGGAGAACUGCCAUUGAUACUGACGGGCUUGAGUACAGACGAGGUUGGCGGAAUUGAUUGUGUAGCGGUGAAAUGCAUAGAUAUCGAGAGGAACACCUGCGGCGAAGGCGGGUUGCUGGGCCGACACUGACGCUGACAGCGCGAAAGCUAGGGGAGCGAACGGG